rnacentral:rRNA from 1 species
AGAGAAUCUUGCUUCUCUUGAGAGCGGCGGACGGGUGAGUAAUGCCUAGGAAUCUGCCUGGUAGUGGGGGAUAACGCUCGGAAACGGACGCUAAUACCGCAUACGUCCUACGGGAGAAAGCAGGGGACCUUCGGGCCUUGCGCUAUCAGAUGAGCCUAGGUCGGAUUAGCUAGUUGGUGAGGUAAUGGCUCACCAAGGCGACGAUCCGUAACUGGUCUGAGAGGAUGAUCAGUCACACUGGAACUGAGACACGGUCCAGACUCCUACGGGAGGCAGCAGUGGGGAAUAUUGGACAAUGGGCGAAAGCCUGAUCCAGCCAUGCCGCGUGUGUGAAGAAGGUCUUCGGAUUGUAAAGCACUUUAAGUUGGGAGGAAGGGCAGUAAAUUAAUACUUUGCUGUUUUGACGUUACCGACAGAAUAAGCACCGGCUAACUCUGUGCCAGGCAGCCGCGGUAAUACAGAGGGUGCAAGCGUUAAUCGGAAUUACUGGGCGUAAGC